CACACUGUGUGGGUUCGGGAUGCCGAGCUCAUGCCAUCAGUCUUGGUGACAAGUGCCUUAACCUGCUGAGUCAUCUUGUUGGCCAUAAGCCAAUUAUCUGCAAAAGGAAGUUUCUUUCCUACGUUGUCUUUACUUCCUGUGACCUGGCUGAAUUUGCCAGUUCGUCUGAGUUGUUAUAGAAAUCCCCUGGGAUUUCGUAAGAGUUACAUCAUCUGCCGCUGAAGAGACUUUUACUUCUCCCUUUGAGACAGACAUGCGCAAACUCAGGCCUGUUGCACAGAAAGUCAAUAUCCAAGAGACCAGUGUUGAGGAAGAGACAGCAGAGCUCCCUGGGGUUGCUACAUCCCUGGACUGACAUCUCCAGACUGCCUUUCAGCCUUUGUAAAGGAAGAGAUGUUUACAAUGAGAACCGAGAACCGGGUUAGGAACUGCCUGCAGAAGCAACCUCCCUAAGAACCCCCUUUCCAACCCCCUGCCCUCCCCUCUCUCUCAUGCAGUCAGUGCUGCUUAUGUGUGCGCGGGUGUGAGGUCAUGCUCUGGAGCAUGGGAAACCUGCCAGUGGCCUCAUCCUAAGAAGUGGAUGAGUCUUCCUCCCCUGGCGACGACCCCACAGCCAAUGGCUCCUCAGGAAAGAAGCGGAGGCUGGACACCCCAUCUACGAUGUCUGUGCCAGCUUGUUGGCUAGUUUGGUGCUGUGCAGGUGGGUCACCACAGAUGCUGUGAGCUGACUGGGACGUCCCUGUCACAUCCAGAAAACAACAUUCCACGUCUCCCUCUUCCCCAACGCCCCAUGGUGGUGGGGCUAAUGGAGACGUGCCGUCCCGAGCUCUUCCUCUUUAGAACAAGGGACUCAGACUGCAGAGUGAAGACACACCCCGAGGAUGGAAGAGAAUGGGAGUAAAGCAAGAUGGAGCCACAGCCACAACCUAUCCUAUAAUCUUUGUGCCUUCCAUGUGUGUUCUUAACUGACUGUACAGGCUGGGACCCUAACCCAGUGCAGCGAUGGAGAAGAGUUCGAGCUCACACCUGUGCUGCUAACCUUGGGGGAUGGGCGGCCACUGGCCACCAUAAAGUAUGACGUCAGCUGUAGGCUUGUUCCAGACAAAGUCUCAUGUAGCUCAGGCUGGCUUGGAAUUCCUGAUCCUGUAGCCUCUACCUCCUGAGUGAAGGACCACGGGUCAGACAGGUAGGCAGGGAGGAAGGGCAGCGACGCUCUAGGUAGAUUAAUAUGCUCUCCACUUAGACAAAAAAAGGUGGUUAGCUUUCUUGAAGACAAGGGUUUGCUGCCUGUUUUCCUGCCAGGGAGAACUUCUCAGUGGCAUUUUUGAAGAAGGGUACGCUAGAUUGGUUUCCUAUGCUGAGGACCAAUCAGCUUCUCCUUCUUUGUCUAGAUUACUGGCCCUGUGCUAGCCCAAACCAGCCAGUCCUGAUGCAAAAAGGGAGCCAGUACCCCCCAAACAUAAGAAUGUUUGUCUCUGAGAUUAAACUCCGACACUACCUUAGGUCUCCUUCCCACCUAAGAAGCUGUCUCUCUAUGUGCUUUGUUCUCUCUCUCUCUCUCUCUCUCUGUGUGUGUGUGUGUGUGUGUGUGUGUGUGUCUGUCUGUCUGUCUGUCUGUCUGUCUGCGCACGCACUUCUGCUUUUAAUAAAACUUGGCUGGCCGGGCCGGGCAGUGGUGGCCACGCCUUUAAUCCCA